rnacentral:lncRNA from 1 species
GGCUUACUAAUUACACCACUGUGUGAGAAACCAAGCCAAUGCAUCAAUACUAAUCCCUCAUCUACAACCGGAAGUUAGAAGUUCCUGUCUGCCACUGAGGGUCAUUACCCCUUGGAACAGCUUCCCACAGGACAUGCAUCCUAUAGGUAGAUGGGGAGGAGGAGAAGGAACACCUAUUUAUAAGAUGAAGAAGCCGAUGGUUAGUGUUGAUCAAGAAGAAGACAACCCAAGGACACCUUUAAGCUGAUUAUUGAUUCCACAGAGCCCAAAUUCUCCACUCCAUGGAGCAACACCCAGACCCUCUCUAUGGCAACACAUGCUCCUUUGUAACUUUGCUGAUAAAUAAGACAGGAAAGGGGGUGAAGGUGAAAAAGAUGGAUUCUUCUCCCUUUUAGCCUGUGAUGAAUGUUUUAGUCUCAGCAACAUAUUGGCAUCCAGUGCUCCUCCAAGCAUCUUCAUCAUACAAAAGGCUAAACACUUACUGUAAGG